AACUAGUCUGACAUAAAUAGAGGAAAGUCCAAAACAUAGCUAGCAUUUCUGCGUUUUAUUUUAUUUUAAAGGAAAGCUUAUUGUGUGACAGACUGCAAAUUUCCCAAGACUUUCCUCCUGAGAGGAAAGAUUGCAAUUUUCAAGACCGUGCCCCAAACAGGAUUUUAUUUUAUAUUUUUAUUUUUAUUUUAUAAUUUUGUUGUUGCAAACCAUACCCAGGAGGAAAUUUGAAGGAGGAGAUGAAAGCCAUCAGCCCCAUCCGAUCUGUGAGAAGCUGUCACGAAGCGGUGUGUUGUUUGGCUGAUCAGAGUUUGUCUAUCUCACGGGGCAAGAAUCCAGUGGAAGAUCCCCUUACCUUGCUGUACGACAUGAAUGAUUGCUACUGUAAACUGAUGGAGCUGGUUCCUAGCAUCCCCCAGAACAGAAAAGUCAGCAAGAUGGAAAUCCUCCAGCAUGUUAUCGAUUAUAUAUUCGACUUGCAGAUUGCAUUGGAAAGCCAGCAACAAGACCCAGAGAAUAGCAACGCAUCCGGCAGCUCCAUCCUAACGCUGCAGCGACCGGAACUGUCUAGUGAUGGAGAAAGUUUAUCCUUAUGUCACUGAUUAAAACGGUGUGCAUUCAACUCGCCGCUACAACAUCGCUCUGAGAGUGUCCUGCCAGCGAAUCAAGACCCCACCCCCACCCUUCCCGUUUCCACUCCCAAGCAGUGAAUUGAACACUUCAGCCAUUUCAAGGACAAACUCUUUUUUCAAAAGAAACGAGCCAGUGCAUAUCUGGGAAGCACUUUCCAUUUGGCACCCAGAGCACUGAAUUUUUAAACCAUGGUCGUUUUU